rnacentral:rRNA from 1 species
AUGUCGUUUUUGCCCACUUCCCUCGCCUUACCACCCCCUCCCCAGCAGCUGCAUGGUGGCCGGUGCGUGCAGCCGCAGGCAUCAUGUGCUUCGGCGCGUGCAUGGUGGCCGCCGGGCGUGCAGCUGCAGCAUCCGAGUGCAGCCGCCGCGUGCUGGCCCCCACAUAUGUUGGCCGAUUACGUGCUUGCCGUAGGCGUCCAAGGCCAAUGGAGGCCGCCGCCUUCAACUCGCGCUUGCCCUGCAGCCUUGAACGCCUCUGUAAAUUUCUCCGCCCAUCUCUUGCAGGAACCAUACUUCCUUCCUUCUCUCCUCCUCUUGAUUAGCAUGCUCCUUUCCAAUCCACUCCUCUCCUUUGAUUUAACACCUAGAACUUUUCAUCUUUGUGCGGAUUAUUCUGUGUAUAUGCCUACAAGCUGUAAUCAUCAACAAAUUAGGCCCCCCAAGUUCUUCCCCAAAAUAUCGCCAGUUCGGAUCAUGAUCAUUGUUACAAGUAAGCUCAGCCGGCAGACGACAUUCAUGUAUCAUAGGAAAGCAAUGUCUUCGUCUUCGUCGUCGUCGUCGUCGUCGCCGCUGUAUCUUUCUGAGCCUCACCUCACAAUUUCAAUGCAAAAUGCAGCCAUCAUCUUGGAAUUCCUUGAGAAUAUCCCUGCCAAAUGCGCCUCCUGGGUGUUCCUGUGCGGUGCCAUAAAAUUGUUCGGUCAUUCUCUCUUCCUCACGUUUUCUAACAUGGUAUCAGACCAGGACCAAACCCUAGUCCCUCUUCCAGCCGCCACCCAUGAAAUCGCCGCCGGUGAGGUGAUUCAGGCGGAUCUGUCUGGAGCUGCUCUCCAGCAGCUCCUUUGUGUGUCCUCACAGCUACUCUGUGAGAAUACUUCCCCUGCUCUCCAGCAGCCAUCUCCAGCAAGCUCUUGGUGCCUUCCCUGCUCUACAGCAAGCUCUAGGCGUUCCCCCUCCUAUCUAGCAAGAUCCAGCAAGCUCCUCCUUCUAUCCAGUGAGAUCCAGCAAGCAGCGGCCAGUCUGGUGGGUUGCUGCUCCUCUUUGUGGCUGUCUGCUGCUCAUCUCUUGUUGCUGCCUGCAGCUGCUAUCAAAUUGGGUGUUUCCAGCUGCUGGCCGCUCACCACUAUGGCAAGAAAUGAUUUCGGAUUUGGUUCUUUGAUCAUAGAUAUCAAGCUUGAUGUUUCAAACUACAGGGAAUGGGCAUUUUCUCUCCGGACUGUCUUGAGGACGGCUGGUUUUGUUUCUCAUCUGACAGAUGAUCCACCUAGUCCAAAUGAUGAUGCAGCAAGGAAGUCUUGGCAAAAGAUCGAUGAUCGUGUGAUGGGAGUUUUAAUUCUGGGUGUUGAACCCUCACUCCAAAUGAGUCUUGAGCAUCACACUUCAGCUAAAGAGAUAUGGAAGUACUUUGAGCAGCGCUACCUUCAGCCCAGCAGUGCACUUCAUUUCUCCUUGUUGCAGAAUUUACACAACACUUGGGAGCCAGAAGACAUGUCCAUAGAAGAUUACUAUGGAGCUUUCACUCGCAUCACUGGGCAGCUAGGUUCCAUGGUUCCAAAGGGUAAUUCUGGUUGUGAGUCAUGUGCAGCGAAGGAAAACUACGACCAUCAGACUCUCAUGUUUCAGUUUGUGAUGGGUCUCAAGCCAGACUUUAAGAACAUUCGCACUCAAUUGCUUGGUCGUACGACUCCUCCCACCUUGACAGAGGCACUUGCUAGCUUGAUCGCUGAGGAGACUCGUCUCCGUUCUCUUGGGACUACUUCUACGCGGACUCUACACACUAGUGUUUUGGCUUUUCCUCAGCGGCCAGGUGCCUCCAAGGCCACACCUUCAGUUGUCGUCUGCUUGUUCUGCAAGAAGGCAGGACACCAUAGAGAUGGUUGUUUCAAGCUUCAUCCAGAGCUGUUAGCCGAGUUUCAGGCUAGACGGGCCCUCAAUCAGCAGCGUCGUGCAUCCCAGGCUCCUUAUCAGCAGCAAGCGAGGGGUACUCUACCUUUUCAGGUUAACUUGAGUGUUGCGAUUAUUCCAAUGUCGCAUCAGUACGGUUGGAGCUCAUCAACUGUUGGCCUGAUUCAAUCAUUGAUUGGUGGAAGAACAGGGGAGCAAACAAGUCUGGCCGGCCGCAGCCACAACGUCGACGACAUCCAAAUCAAGUCAGCCUCCUCCGACACCUGGAUCGACCGCUGCUCCCUCGCCGACUACGACAACGAGAUCAUCGAUAUGACGCGCUAG